rnacentral:rRNA from 1 species
UACAGAGGGUGCGAGCGUUGUUCGGAAUUACUGGGCGUAAAGCGCGCGCAGGCGGCUUUUUAAGUCCGACGGUGAAAUGCCGGGGCUCAACCCCGUGCCCGCCGCGGAUACUGGGGAGCUGGAGACGAGUAGAGGCAAGCGGAAUUCCGGGUGUAGCGGUGGAAUGCGUAGAGAUCCGGAAGAACACCGGAGGCGAAGGCGGCUUGCUGGGCUCGGUCUGACGCUGAGGCGCGAAAGCGUGGGGAGCGAACAGG